UUUGUCUGAAAAUAAAAUAUGAUCCUCAACUACGUUUCCCCUCCAGUCAGCAGACGCGAUGUGCAUCUUUCAGGCGAUGCUGCCAGCGUGACGUGUAAUCUAGUGGACGGUUCUUCAGAAACAGCUCGUCAAGCAACUCCGUAGCUUGCUAGCGAACAUAGCCGAAAGAUUCAAGCUAUUUAUACGCUUUCGUUGUAUAUUAGCUACUGUGUUUUAUACACACUUAUAUCGUAUCUACUCGUUAACCUAUUUAAUUUAAUAUGACGUUAUUUUGUAUUAGUCAGAUAUAGUAGCUGGCUGGUUAAGUUAGCACUAGCCUAGUCGCUAAUGAUAGCUAGCUAACAUCCCAGAACAUGAGCUCCCUAAACUACUCUCCUGCUAAAGAAGAGGAGGUCUGCUGGACGGAGAAAGAAGCUCUGGGGCUGAACAUUGUCGUGAAAGAGGAGAAGGAAGAGGAGGAUGUCACAGUAAAACAAGUAGAGGGUGAGGCUGUUACAGUGAAAGAAGAGAAAGACGUUACAGUGAAAGAAGAGGAUGUCGUUUUUGGUGUGAAAAAGAGGUUGGAGAUCUGUUUAACGCCACCUUCCUCUCCUCUGAAGACCCAGUGAGGGUGGAGCUCAGUCAGAGAGCUGUUGAGGGACUGGUUAGGAAGAACACUUCUACAGCCAGAGAGGUGAGAGGUCACACAUGGUUUAGAUGGUAAAUAUUUUUGUCUCCUUCGCGGUUCAUCACG
rnacentral:lncRNA from 1 species